rnacentral:tRNA from 1 species
GCCGCCCUCGUGUAGCUGGUGCGCACGCCUGUCUGAAGAGCAGGAGGACGCUGUUCGAUUCAGCGGGGCGGCGCCA